GAUGAACGCUGGCGGCGUGCUUAACACAUGCAAGUCGAACGGAAAGGCUCCUGCUUGCAGGGGUACUCGAGUGGCGAACGGGUGAGUAACACGUGGGUGAUCUGCCCUGCACUUCGGGAUAAGCCUGGGAAACUGGGUCUAAUACCGGAUAGGACGAUGGUUUGGAUGCCAUUGUGGAAAGUUUUUUCGGUGUGGGAUGAGCUCGCGGCCUAUCAGCUUGUUGGUGGGGUAAUGGCCUACCAAGGCGUCGACGGGUAGCCGGCCUGAGAGGGUGUACGGCCACAUUGGGACUGAGAUACGGCCCAGACUCCUACGGGAGGCAGCAGUGGGGAAUAUUGCACAAUGGGCGCAAGCCCGAUGCAGCGACGCCGCGUGGGGGAUGACGGCCUUCGGGUUGUAAACUCCUUUCGCUAGUGACGAAGCGCAAGUGACGGUACCUGGAGAAGAAGCACCGGCUAACUACGUG
rnacentral:rRNA from 1 species